rnacentral:rRNA from 1 species
GAUGAACGCUGGCGGCGUGCCUAAUACAUGCAAGUCGAGCGAACAGACGAGGAGCUUGCUCCUCUGACGUUAGCGGCGGACGGGUGAGUAACACGUGGAUAACCUACCUAUAAGACUGGGAUAACUUCGGGAAACCGGAGCUAAUACCGGAUAAUAUAUUGAACCGCAUGGUUCAAUAGUGAAAGACGGUUUUGCUGUCACUUAUAGAUGGAUCCGCGCCGCAUUAGCUAGUUGGUAAGGUAACGGCUUACCAAGGCAACGAUGCGUAGCCGACCUGAGAGGCGGAUCGGCCACACUGGAACUGAGACACGGUCCAGACUCCUACGGGAGGCAGCAGUAGGGAAUCUGCCGCAAUGGGCGAAAGCCUGACGGAGCAACGCCGCGUGAGUGAUGAAGGUCUUCGGAUCGUAAAACUCUGUUAUUAGGGAAGAACAAAUGUGUAAGUAACUAUGCACGUCUUGACGGUACCUAAUCAGAAAGCCACGGCUAACUACGUG